rnacentral:rRNA from 1 species
UAAAUUCAGUUGGCUUGAUCUUAGUUUAUUAUUGAUUUUUUUGAGUUAAAAUUUGAGUUAAAACAAGAAAGUUAAUUUUUAUUACUGAUGGGGAAAUAAUUAUUUUAAUUAUAGUGAAUUAGUAUUGUAAGAGAAUUAUUAAAGAUUAGAAAAGAAGAAUUUAAUUUUCGUACCUUGGGUAUCAGGGUUUAUUAAAAAUUAUGGUCAUAUGAGUAUUUCUCGAAUUUAAAAGAGCUAUUAAUUAAUAAUUUUUACUGUGGCAUAAGUAUUGAAAAUUAAUUGAUAGAGGUGAAACGUCAUUCGGUUUUAAAUAUAUCUAGUUUUUUAAGAAAUAAAUUUAAUUUAGUUAUCUUUAAUAAGGUCCUUAUUUAUUAGGUUAAUAUUGAAGGUGAGCAAUAAUCUAAGGGAUGAGCUUUAGGUUAAAACAAUAAAAGUUUUGCUUGUUUAUGAUAUGCGAGUAGGAUCAGAAGUUUUCAUUUUUAUUAGUGUGUUACAACUGACAUAUCUUUAAUUAAGAUUUUUAUUUUCUUUAUGUUUUUUAUUAAAAUGUGCUUUUUAAUUAUUGCUAAGCAGUAAUAAUGAUAAAAUUAGUAUAAUAUUCUUGUGAGAAAUUUUUUUAUUGCAAGGUUAGGUAAAGGAACUCGGCAAAUUUAUUUUCCACCUGUUUACUAAAAACAUGGCCUUUUGAUUAUAAUUUAAGGUCUAACCUGCCCAAUGAUUUAGUGAUUGAAUGGCCGCGGUACAUUGACCGUGCAAAGGUAGCAUAAUAAUUUGUUUUUUAAUUGAAAGCUGGAAUGAAUGGUUGAAUGAGAGAAUAGCUGUCUCUAUCUAAAUUUGGUUAGAACUUUAUUUUUGAGUGAGAAAGCUCAAAUAUAUCUAGAAGACGAGAAGACCCUAUAGAGUUUAAUAGGCUAAUUUUUUAUGAGUUUUAGUAUUUAUUUUCAUGAGAUUUAAGCUUAUUUGGUUGGGGUGACAGAAGAAUUAAAUAAACUUCUUUUUUAGUAUUACACUAAUGAGUGAGUGCAUGAUCCUUAUUUAAAGAUUAAAAGAAAAAAUUACCUUAGGGAUAACAGCGUAAUCUUUCUUGAGAGUUCUAAUCGAUAGGAGGGGUUGCGACCUCGAUGUUGGAUUAAAAUUAAUGUUUGGUGCAGAAGCUAAAUGUAUUAGGUCUGUUCGACCUUUAAAAUUUUACAUGAUCUGAGUUUAAACCGGCGUGAGCCAGGUUGGUUUCUAUCUCUAGAAAGUUAAAAUAUUUUAGUACGAAAGGACCAAAUAUUUGGCUAGGAGUUUUAUUAUAAGAAUAAUAUUGUUGUUUUGGCAGAAUAGUGCAAAAGAUUUAGAAUCUUUAAAAGUAGGAUAAUCUUAC